GUUGCACCAGUCACACGUGCUGGGCGCAUUGGCCGUUCCGGCAGGCAACGAAAUGGCUUUUACGAGAAAAAGUAAGCCAACGGCACGAGGAAAGGUCGUCAAAGCAAGUUUAAUAACCAAGUGCUCAAUGAGAUUGAUUCCAACGGUGACGUCAUCUCUGUUUGGUGCAGACAAGAGAUAAAACAAGAGGAAGCGUUCUGCACCAUCUGAAACACUAUCAUAAACUGUGCACAGCAUGGUGUAGCAGCUGUCAAGCAUCAUGCUGCCAAUAAGAGUCCCGUUGAAUUGUGCACUCAACAUAGAGAUGCUUCUGGUGUUCUAAAGAAGCCUGCUACUAAGCAAGUUCAGCUGGAAUCAUGCUUUGCAACUGGGCCAGGACUUUCGGAGGCAGACCGUGCUACUCGAGCAGAUACUUAUUUUGCGAUUGGAGUGGCGUUGUCUGGGAUCCCUUAUACAUACGGGGAUGCAGCAACGAAGAUGAUACUGUUGAUGUUUCCAGACUCUGAAAUAGCCAAGGAGUUCCAGUGUGGUAGGAAGAAGCUAUCGUACAAAAUUUCAGAUGGCCUAGGUUCAUGUUUUACGAAGGCAGUCACAGAUGAACUGAACAGGCCACACACAUAUUAUACAAUUCAGAACGAGGAAACACUGCUCCCAGAGCAACGCUGCCAACAGCUGGACGUGAUGGCCAGAUAUUUUUCUGAUACACAGAAGCGUGUUGUUGUUGAGCAUUUGCGCUCUUAUCACUUGGGCUCUGCAACAACAGAAAUCUUGCUGGCACAUGUCAAAGAAGCCCUGUAAGAUUUGCCUGCAAGGAAGAUGCUCUGCUUUUACAGUGACGGGCCCAACGUCAUGCGAAGUUUAAAAAAAAAAAAACGUUUUAAAGAAGAUGUGAAUCCAGCUUUGCUGGACAUUAGUGAAUGUAGUUUGCACAAGGUGCAUAAUGCAUUUGCAAAAGGUCUCGAAGCAUUUGGUGAUACUGUAUAAACAACGUUGCUUGACAUAUACCACUUUUUCAAAAAUUCAGCUGUACAAAGUGCUACGCUGAAGGCAACACGGAGAUUCCUAGGCUUGCCUGAAAAUGUCCUUCUGCGGCAUGAGAGCUCGCGAUGGCCGACGCUGAGUUCAGCUUUGGAUAGAUUUAUCCAGCAACAUGAAGCUGUCAAGGAAACAGUUCUGGGUGCCCAACAAAAAAGUAGAGCGGGUGGCAAUAUUUAUAGGCAUCUGAAAGAAAAUAUAAUGAAAAAGGAUCUACUUCCCAAGGCAGUCUUUCUUCGAAAUGUCGCAGAUGUGUUUGUACUACUCAAAUGGACCUGUAUGUGUGUAGCAUGGAAGGAUGGCAAUUUGGUGCAAGCAGUCGUCCUGGCUUUCCUAUGUUGAAAAUGUCACGUGAUCAAUGUGCACACUAGUGGAGGAUGGUGCACAUCUCCACCUUUACCUUGGCCACAACCUAUAUGCACUGCGUACCUGUGUAUCAAGCCUUGAAGGCCACGUAACAUUUUCAAGACAAGGGCAAGUGACAGGCAGCACGAAGCAUUCACUUCCCGCAGUUGGAAGUAAUGGCAGCAGCACUGCGACAGCCAGUGUUUGUUGUCAUUGAGUAAGGUAGUACAUUUGCUUGCCUGUGAGGAAGUGAUGCUAAGCUUGUUAAUUUAGUAAGCAAGUAUUUAUUGCACAGCAAAUAAAAAUAUGGGCCUUAUUCAGUGCAGUUGUACCAUACUUUGAGAUUGUUACAAACUGGAGCUGUGUGAACAGAAAAAUUAUGGGUGCGAAGCGAAUCAGAAUGUCGAAGAUUUAAUGCGAAUCGAAUAGAAUAUUUUUGAAAUAUUUUUACGACAUUUUUCCAACACUUCAAAGUGACAUUGUAGAAAAAAAAAAAAUAAGGAGUUGGAGAGGAUUCCUAAGUAUAUUCUUAUGAGACAGCAACACGAAAGUGUUCCUUUUGGCUAGGUUAAUGAAAUGCUGAAAGGGUGGUAUUUCACAGUAGUAUUAUAAAGAAUGAGACAAUGCAGAGGUCAAAUAGUAGUGAUGAACAUGUUAUGGUGCAACAGAAGUGUUGCUGACAUUUGACAUAUGAAAGGAAAAGGCACUAACUACAAGCUGUCGCGAAUGGAGAGAGAGAGGCACUAUUUCCUCAGCCUCUCCUCUUUCAACUGAUGUGGCAGACAACGGUGUGCUGUCUUUGAGUCCUCGAGUUCUAAAUCUGCCUCAUAGAUGUCAAUUAAGAACAUCUGAAAUUUUGGAUGCUAAAAAUCUUUGCUAUCUGACUUAUCAGACUUCCUGCCCAAAUUUCAGGUACAAAACAGUCUUAGUUGAGCCGUCACCUCUGCCACGUCUGCCAUCUUUGUAUUGAAACCAGAGCCUGAAAGGCAGCUUUGCUGUAAUACAACAGUGUGAUGGAAUGAAGCGUAUUGAAAAUCUGAAGCGGCCACUGCCAAUUUUGGACAUGAACUGUUUUUGUCUUUGGGAAGUUCAAAUAGUUUGAAUAGUAAAAUUUUAUUGCUACUUGAAUCUAAUAAUAAACACUAUCAGAAAGAUGUUUGGAAUUUCAAAUAUUUGCACACACUUAAUUGUAAAUAGUUCACCUUAAAGUGAAACUGCGGCUUUUCAUUCAAGGAGCUUCUCUAUUACACCUUUAAAUUUAGGUUUAACUCAUUGCAACUGUAAAAUAAAUCAUUUUGAGCCCAAA